UACACUACAAUUAAUCUUGCAAAUUAGGUUUUAGAGAGAGGGGCUCUCAAGCCUAGAGAGAGGGGGGUUCGGGGGCACUGUUCACAGCGACUGUUCACAGCGGCGCCACUGUUCACGGCGGCGCUACUGUUCACGCCGCCACUGUUCACGGGCACUGUUCACGCCCAGCCCAUUUUUGCCCCCUUCUACACAAUUAAUUGGAGAGAUUUGAAGAUCAAGAGGAGGAAAAAGAUGGAGCUCAUGGUAGCCAUGGCAACUCACGGCCAUGGCUUUCUUGAAGACAUUUCAUGGUGAAAAAAAUUAGAGCUUGUCUCUAAGACCUUGGGGAGCCCGAGGCGUAGAUUUGGAUUAGCUUUAGAUUGGCUAUCUUGGAAGUGCGUUCGAGGGGCUGCGUUUUCAUGCCGCGCAGGUACAUACGACAGGUUCGCUGAUCCGCCCUCUUAGGAUCUUAUUCUGCUAUUCUGAGGCGCUCUCUUAUCCGGAGCCUAUAUUUUUGGUACAGUCUCCUGCUAUUGUAUAAAUGUACGUCACUCAGGGGUACGACGGGGCCCUGUCCCGUCAUAUGAUUCUGUCGGUCUGUUUAGAGGUCUGUAGACAUGUUUGUGGGUUGGGGUCUUUCUGUACGGAUGCGUGUAUAUGUUGUGUUUGGGCGAUCCCAUUCGCCGCGGCGGCCGGUCCGCAUAUGUUUAAAUGUUGCUUUGUUGGCCCUGGGUGGUCUUUGUUGGUAUUAUCUGUGCGCAGGGUUAAUUUGGAUAGUCUGUAAAACAAAGGAAACUCUGCCGAAAUUUUUCUGGAAAUUAUCUAAAUUUGAAAUAUAGCCUUGA